AAAUACUCCUGACUGACCGAUAGUGAACCAGUACCGUGAGGGAAAGGCGAAAAGAACCCCGGCGAGGGGAGUGAAAAAGAACCUGAAACCGUGUACGUACAAGCAGUGGGAGCACGCUUAGGCGUGUGACUGCGUACCUUUUGUAUAAUGGGUCAGCGACUUAUAUUCUGUAGCAAGGUUAACCGAAUAGGGGAGCCGAAGGGAAACCGAGUCUUAACUGGGCGUUAAGUUGCAGGGUAUAGACCCGAAACCCGGUGAUCUAGCCAUGGGCAGGUUGAAGGUUGGGUAACACUAACUGGAGGACCGAACCGACUAAUGUUGAAAAAUUAGCGGAUGACUUGUGGCUGGGGGUGAAAGGCCAAUCAAACCGGGAGAUAGCUGGUUCUCCCCGAAAGCUAUUUAGGUAGCGCCUCGUGAAUUCAUCUCCGGGGGUAGAGCACUGUUUCGGCAAGGGGGUCAUCCCGACUUACCAACCCGAUGCAAACUGCGAAUACCGGAGAAUGUUAUCACGGGAGACACACGGCGGGUGCUAACGUCCGUCGUGAAGAGGGAAACAACCCAGACCGCCAGCUAAGGUCCCAAAGUCAUGGUUAAGUGGGAAACGAUGUGGGAAGGCCCAGACAGCCAGGAUGUUGGCUUAGAAGCAGCCAUCAUUUAAAGAAAGCGUAAUAGCUCACUGGUCGAGUCGGCCUGCGCGGAAGAUGUAACGGGGCUAAACCAUGCACCGAAGCUGCGGCAGCGACGCUGAUGCGUUGUUGGGUAGGGGAGCGUUCUGUAAGCCUGUGAAGGUGUGCUGUGAGGCAUGCUGGAGGUAUCAGAAGUGCGAAUGCUGACAUAAGUAACGAUAAAGCGGGUGAAAAGCCCGCUCGCCGGAAGACCAAGGGUUCCUGUCCAACGUUAAUCGGGGCAGGGUGAGUCGACCCCUAAGGCGAGGCCGAAAGGCGUAGUCGAUGGGAAACAGGUUAAUAUUCCUGUACUUGGUGUUACUGCGAAGGGGGGACGGAGAAGGCUAUGUUGGCCGGGCGACGGUUGUCCCGGUUUAAGCGUGUAGGCUGGUUUUCCAGGCAAAUCCGGAAAAUCAAGGCUGAGGCGUGAUGACGAGGCACUACGGUGCUGAAGCAACAAAUGCCCUGCUUCCAGGAAAAGCCUCUAAGCAUCAGGUAACAUCAAAUCGUACCCCAAACCGACACAGGUGGUCAGGUAGAGAAUACCAAGGCGCUUGAGAGAACUCGGGUGAAGGAACUAGGCAAAAUGGUGCCGUAACUUCGGGAGAAGG
rnacentral:rRNA from 1 species